rnacentral:rRNA from 1 species
UACGAAGGGGGCUAGCGUUGCUCGGAAUUACUGGGCGUAAAGGGAGCGUAGGCGGAUAGUUUAGUCAGAGGUGAAAGCCCGGGGCUCAACCCCGGAACUGCCUUUGAAACUAGAUUGCUAGAAUCCUGGAGAGGUGAGUGGAAUUCCGAGUGUAGAGGUGAAAUUCGUAGAUAUUCGGAAGAACACCAGUGGCGAAGGCGACUCACUGGACAGGUAUUGACGCUGAGGUGCGAAAGCGUGGGGAGCAAACAGG